ensembl:lncRNA
CUGCAGUGAUAAACCUAUAUGCAUUGCUCGCAGCGACCAGAAGUUAGCAGAGGUGUGAAGUGGUUUGUCCCUCAAAGCCUCCGGAAGGAGCCAAGCCUGCUGACACCUUGAUUUUAGACUCCUGGCCUCCUACACUGUGAGAGAACGGAUUUCUGUUGUUCAGCUCUCCAGAAAUACACGGUGUUGGAAUGGACAUACACACAGUAGUGAUACCGCAUAUAAAGCAGAUAACGAGCGAGAACCUGCUGUGCAGCACAGGGGACUUCGCUCACUGCUCUGUGGUGCCCGAGACGGGAAGGAAAUCUGAAAAGAGUGGCUGGGUGUGCACGUGCCGCGGAUUCCCUCUGCUGCGCAGCAGAGACCAACACAACACUGCAGAUCAACUCUACUUCAGUGAGAAAUGUUACACGAGUUGGAAUAGUACAUACGUAUUUUGCAAAAGGCAAAAUGGCGGUCUGGGGAGGCCUUACAAAUAGCUGAGAACAGAAGAAAAGCGAAAGGCAAAGGAGAAAAGGAAAGAUACAGCCAUCUGAAUGCAGAGUUCCAAAGAAUAGCAAGGAGAGACACGAAAGCCUUCCUAGGUGAUCAAUGCAAAGAAAUAAGGAAAACAAUAGCAUGGAAAAGACUAGAGAUCUCUUCAAGAAAAUUAGAGAUACUAAGGGAAUAUUUCAUGCAAAGAAGGGCACAAUAAGGGACAGAGAUGGUAUGGACCUAACAAAAGCAGAAGUUAUUAAAAAGAGGUGGUAAAACUACACAGAAGAACUACACACACAAAAAAUGUUAAUGACCUAGAUAACCAUGAUGCUGUGAUCACUCACCUAGAGCCAGACAUCCUGGAGUGCAAAGUCAGGUGGGCCUUAGGAAGCAUCACUAUGAACAAAGCUAGUGGAGGUGAUGGAAUUCCAGCUGAGCUAUUUCAAAUCCUG